CCCGUGAGGACAUUCAACUGGUAUUUCGGGGUCCAAUCUGCUCAUGAAGUGGUUUAGUUUAUUGUGCCCGCUGCGUAACCGAAGCAUUGCUGUUUGGAUAUUUCGUUUCUUGUUAAUGUGCCAAGGUCCUUUUUCGUUUUUUUCGGAUUUCGGUGGCCAGUUGGUCAGCAAUUUCGUUUCCUGGUAUCCCAGCAUGUGAAGGCAUGGAUCCAAGGACGAACGAGCCGUAGUCGUAUGCGCUCCGAAUCAUGGCUUUGAAGAUGCGGAUAAGGAGUGGCAGUUUCAAGGUCUUGGAGUGGACCCUCUGCCUCUUUCUUCGUUUUAGCGGUGUAGUAGAUCGCGACGUCAUCGGCGAAGAGGGAUGUUUCGCAUCCGUUGACCGGCAUUGGAAAGUCCGCGAGCAUGAUGUUGAAUAGUAGGGGGCUGAGGACACUUCCUUGAGGUACUCCUUUGCAUAUCUCUCUUUCAUCAGAGAGGUUGUCAUCUACCCGGGUUCUGAUGCUUCUGCCGGAGUCCAGUUAUCCAGACAUUGUCAUAAGCUUUGGAUAUGUCUAGGAAGAUUGCUGUGGUGGAGUGGCUGUUGUUGAAGCCUCUUUUGAUUGCUGACUCUAUCCGGAUCAGGUUGUCUGUGGUGGUGCAUCCUCUUCGGAAUCCAGUCUGGACCUUGGGGAGUAAUUUUAGAUGAUCUAGAUGCCACUUCAGUCUGUUGUUAAUCAUUUUCUCCAUAGCUUUACAGAGACAUGAAGUGAGGGAGAUUGGUCUGUAUGAGUCGGCGCUUCCUGCUGGUUUGUUUGGCUUUAGGGCGGGUGUCACAAUUGCGCAUUUCCACUCCUUCGGUGUUGGAUGGGUAUCCGUCUUCCCAUAGCUCGGAAUGAGCGUUUAGGUCGCCACCGGCGAUGACACUAUUUCCGGUGUUGUUUGAUGGUGACUCCAAUAGCUUCAAAAUUCUCGUUGGGUUCGACGCCGAGUGUGGUAGCUUGCAUAUUCUUCUUGGUCAGGAUCGCUACGCCUCCUCCUUGACCGACACGAUUGAGAACAAAAGAGUUGUAUGAUGAGAAUUUCACUUUGUAUUCGUUUUUCCAAUGGGUUUCACUUAUUAGAACAAUGUGAGGGUUGUGGAAUCGUAAA
rnacentral:lncRNA from 1 species